CCAAAAUAAAAACAUAUUUUUGUUAAUCAUGAAAGGGGCAAGAGUAGAAAAGUACUAAUCACGGGAAAUUUGAAUGAAAACAAGAUAGAGAUGGUCUCUGAGUUGUCAUCCUUUCAAUAUUACACCAACAUUUUAAUGGGUGAAAAAUUAAUUUAUAUCAGAUACCUAUAGUGGAAAGUGCACUGGGAGAAGUUUCUAUAAACUUGCUGUGUCAGCCAGAAUGAUUGGCACAUGAUGCCCCCUGCCUUUCUUCUUGCAUAUACUUGCUUCAUCCUGGAAGGCAUUCUAGGCUGCAAGAGAAUCUGAAACAAGGUAUUACUUGUAAUCAGUCACGAAUCCUUGGCAAAAAAAAAAAAAAAAGAACAGUGAGUUUCUUGCUUUAACUUCUUUUUUCUUUUGGUGCUGUGUCUUCAGGAAGGGAGAAGCAUUUAUUCAGGCCUUGUAUAAAUACAAAGUGCUUCCUAUUCCCAGAAGUAAUAAAUGCUCAUUCUGAACCAAUUUAUUGUAGUCAGCCUGAAAUGAAUAGCUUCUUCUUAAUGCCAAAAUCUUCAUUUCCGAAAUCAACUCCACAUCCUCCAGAAGAGAUCCUUUUGUUGCAGUGAGAUGUUGAUCUGCAUGCUCUCAUUUGAAAUUACAUUGCUUCUAAUGUGCCCAAACUUUCAGAAGUUAGAAUCAAAUCCAGAGAUGAAUUUUUUUGCUUGCUGCUUUGAGUUAAUGUCCUGGUUUCACCUGGAAUAAGGUUUCUGUUCUAGUAGCUGGUACAGGGCUAUUUUUUGGAUUUAGUAUGAUAUUGAUGAUGACACACUUAUGCUUUGUUGUAGCUAGGUAGUGCUUACUCUACGUCAAGGACUUUCCAGUUUCCCAUGUUCUGCCAGUGAGCAGGUGGACAAGAAGCUGAGAGGGAACAUGGACAGGAAAGAUGACCCAAACUGGCCAAAGAGAUAUUCCAUGCCAGAGAAUGUCACAUUUAGUAUAUAAAGCGUGAAGAAUGGCCAGGAGCUACUAAUUGGUCAGUGCUUGGGGAUGGACCUGGUGUCAGUCUCAAGUGCUGGGUGAUUGCAUAUGCAUGGCUUCUUGGACUUUAUUUAUAGCUCUUUUUUUGGUGUUUCCUCCCUUUUUAUUAUAAUUACUGUUGUUAUCUCAUUUUUUUUUAAUUUUAUCUCAAUUAUUAAACUGUUCCUAACCUAUAA